CGUGUAGGCGGCCAGGUAGGUCGGUUGUGAAAACUGGAGGCUCAACCUUCAGACGUCGACCGAAACCAUCUGGCUAGAGUCCGGGAGAGGAGAGUGGAAUUCCUGGUGUAGCGGUGAAAUGCGCAGAUAUCAGGAAGAACACCCGUGGCGAAAGCGGCUCUCUGGAACGGUACUGACGCUGAGACGCGAAAGCGUGGGGAGCGAACA
rnacentral:rRNA from 1 species